rnacentral:rRNA from 1 species
AUUGAACGCUGGCGGCAUGCCUUACACAUGCAAGUCGAACGGCAGCACGGGUGCUUGCACCUGGUGGCGAGUGGCGAACGGGUGAGUAAUACAUCGGAACGUACCUUAUCGUGGGGGAUAACGCAGCGAAAGCUGUGCUAAUACCGCAUACGCCCUGAGGGGGAAAGCGGGGGAUCGCAAGACCUCGCGCGAUUAGAGCGGCCGAUGCCUGAUUAGCUUGUUGGUGGGGUAAAAGCCCACCAAGGCGACGAUCAGUAUGUGGGCUGAGAGGACGAUCAGCCACACUGGGACUGAGACACGGCCCAGACGCCUACGGGAGGCAGCAGUGGGGAAUUUUUGACAAUGGGGGCAACCCUGAUCCAGCAAUGCCGCGUGAGUGAAGAAGGCCUUCGGGUUGUAAAGCUCUUUUGUCAGGGAAGAAACACCGGCUCUAACACAGUCUGGGAAUGACGGUACCUGAAGAAUAAGCACCGGCUAACUACGUGCCAGCCGCCGCGGUAA